UACGGGAGGCAGCAGUGGGGAAUAUUGCACAAUGGGCGAAAGCCUGAUGCAGCUAUGCCGCGUGUAUGAAGAAGGCCUUAGGGUUGUAAAGUACUUUCAUCGGGGAGGAAAAACAAAACUAAUAAUUUUAUUUCUUGACGUUACCCGAAAAAGAAGCACCGGCUAACUCCGUGCCAGCAGCCGCGGUAAUACGGAGGGUGCUAGCGUUAAUCAGAAUUACUGGGCGUAAAGAGCACGUAGGUGGUUUUUUUAAAGUCAGAUGUGAAAUCCCUGGGCUUAACCUGGAACUGCAUUUUGAAACUGAAAUACUAGAGUAUCGUAGAGGGAGGUAGAAUUCUAGGUGUAGCGGUGAAAUGCGUAGAUAUCUGGAGGAAUACCUGUGGCGAAAGCGGCCUCCUAAACGAAUACUGACACUGAGGUGCGAAAGCGUGGGGAGC
rnacentral:rRNA from 1 species